rnacentral:rRNA from 1 species
AGCGAACGCUGGCGGCAUGCCUAACACAUGCAAGUCGAACGAUCCCUUCGGGGCUAGUGGCGCACGGGUGCGUAACGCGUGGGAACCUGCCCUUAGGUUCGGAAUAACUCAGAGAAAUUUGAGCUAAUACCGGAUAAUGUCUUCGGACCAAAGAUUUAUCGCCUUUGGAUGGGCCCGCGUUGGAUUAGCUAGUUGGUGGGGUAAAGGCCUACCAAGGCGACGAUCCAUAGCUGGUCUGAGAGGAUGAUCAGCCACACUGGGACUGAGACACGGCCCAGACUCCUACGGGAGGCAGCAGUGGGGAAUAUUGGACAAUGGGCGAAAGCCUGAUCCAGCAAUGCCGCGUGAGUGAUGAAGGCCUGAGGGUUGUAAAGCUCUUUUACCCGGGAUGAUAAUGACAGUACCGGGAGAAUAAGCCCCGGCUAACUCCG